GAUGAACGCUGGCGGCGUGCCUAAUACAUGCAAGUCGAGCGAACAGACGAGGAGCUUGCUCCUCUGGCGUUAGCGGCGGACGGGUGAGUAACACGUGGAUAACCUACCUAUAAGACUGGGAUAACUUCGGGAAACCGGAGCUAAUACCGGAUAAUAUAUUGAACCGCAUGGUUCAAUAGUGAAAGACGGUUUUGCUGUCACUUAUAGAUGGAUCCACGCCGCAUUAGCUAGUUGGUAAGGUAACGGCUUACCAAGGCGACGAUGCGUAGCCGACCUGAGAGGGUGAUCGGCCACACUGGAACUGAGACACGGUCCAGACUCCUACGGGAGGCAGCAGUAGGGAAUCUUCCGCAAUGGGCGAAAGCCUGACGGAGCAACGCCGCGUGAGUGAUGAAGGUCUUCGGAUCGUAAAACUCUGUUAUUAGGGAAGAACAAAUGUGUAAGUAACUAUGCACGUCUUGACGGUACCUAAUCAGAAAGCCACGGCUAACUACGUG
rnacentral:rRNA from 1 species